rnacentral:rRNA from 1 species
UCCUACCUGGGUUGACCUGCCAGUAGUCAUAUGCUUGUCUCAAAGAUUAAGCCAUGCAUGUCUGAGUUCGCCCCCAGCAAGGGUAAACCGCGAAUGGCUCAGUACUACGGUCCUGGUUCCUUAGGCGAGACGGCCCCACCCCGAAAGGGGACGGGCAGAUUCGGAUAACUGUGGCAAAUCCAGAGCUAAUACGUGCGUUCGAGCCCCGUUCCUGUCGUCUCUCGCGGGGCGGCGGGAGGGGCGCUUUUAUUAGCAGCUAGACCGGCGUCGCCCCGGCCCUUCGCGGGGUCGGGCUUCCUCCGUUCAGGCGAACUCUGGAUAACGAGCAGACCGCUACGUCCCUCGGGACGGCGGCGCGCCUUUCAAGCGUCCGCCCUAUCAAAUGUCGACGGUCGGUUACACGCCGACCGUGUUGGCCACGGGUGACGGGGAAUCGGGGUUCGAUUCCGGAGAGGGAGCACGAGAAACGGCUACCACAUCCAAGGAAGGCAGCAGGCGCGCAACUUACCCACUCCCGGCACGGGAGGUAGUGACGAGAAAUAACGAGCGGGCCCUUAGUGGGGAUACGUUUCGGAAUGAGCGCAGUCCAAAUACCUGAUGCGACGAUCGAUCGGAGGGCAAGCCUGGUGCCAGCAGCCGCGGAUAAUUCCAGCUCCGAUAGCGUAUACUAAAGCUGUUGCAGUUAAAAAGCUCGUAGUUGGUCCUCGGGACGGGAGCCGGCGGACCCGGACCGCCCAAGCCCCGCCGCCACGGGGCCGGCGUUCAUCCGGCGUCGGUCUCUCGUCCCUGAGCGCCGGUCACUCCCGCCGUCGGCGCGCCUCUUCCUACCCUGGAGGAGCGCGGGUCGCGGCGGGCGGCCGGUCUCGUCACCUUGAAAAAAUUGGAGUGUUCAAGGCGGGCAUUUGCUCGGACAGCGUCGCAUGGCAUGGCCGUUACGGACCGCCGUCCCCUCGGCCGGUCUAAGGGACGGAGGUAUUGGUUCACAGAGGCGGACGGGGGCAUUCGUACGGAGGCGGGAGAGGUGAAAUUCGUUGAUCGCCGACGGACGAACGAGAGCGAAAGCAUUUGUCAAGAACGUUUUCGUUAAUCAAGAACGAAAGUCUGAGGCUCGAAGACGAUCAGAUACCGUCGUAGUUCAGACCGUAAACGAUGCCGACCGGCGAGCAGCGGAGGUCUAAACUGUGGUAGGACCGCGCUGCGCGCCCCCGAGGGAAACCAGAGUCUUUGGGUUCCGGGGGGAGUAUGGUCGCAAGGCUGAAACUUAAAGGAAUUGACGGAAGGGCACCACCAGGAGUGGGGUCUGCGGCUUAAUUUGACUCAACACGGGAAAACUCACCCGGUCCGGACACCGCGAGGAUUGACAGACCGGAGAUCUUUCUUGAUUCGGUGGGUGGUGGUGCAUGGCCGUUCCUAGUCGGUGGAGCGAUCUGUCUGGUUAAUUCCGAUAACGGGCGAGACUCUGCCCUGCUAAUUAGCGCGGCGGCGACUGGCGACACGGGGUUCGUCCCUAGCCCGCCCGCGUCCGGCCGGCCGUGGCGUCGGGGGGGGGUCCGGUUCGUCCGGUGCUCUUCCGCGUGCGGUCGGUCGGGCGUGCGCCGCCGCCACGCCAGAAACAGGCUUCUUAGAGGGACGGGCGGUAAACAGCCGCACGAAGGUGAGCGAUAACAGGUCUGUGAUGCCCUUAGACGUCCGGGGCCGCACGCGUGCUACAAUGGGAGAGGCAGCGCGAUUCAACUUCCCUGCCCUAACGGCGUCGGGAAAGCGCACAGUCUCUCCCCCGACCGGAAUCGGGGCUUGCAACUGUGCCCCGUGAACGAGGAAUUCCCAGUAGGCGCGGGUCAUAACCCUGCGCCGACUACGUCCCUGCCCUUUGUACACACCGCCCGUCGCUACCAUCGGUGGACGGCCUAGCGAGGACUUUCGGACCGGAACGGGGGCGGCUCGCGCCGUCCCUACCGGGGAAGAGGCCCCAACUCGGUCGUUCGGAGAUAGUAAAAGUCGUAACAAGGUUUCCGUAGUGAACCUGCGGAAGGAUCAUUA